AUACGUAGGGUGCAAGCGUUAAUCGGAAUUACUGGGCGUAAAGCGUGCGCAGGCGGUUUUGUAAGACAGUGGUGAAAUCCCCGGGCUCAACCUGGGAACUGCCAUUGUGACUGCAAGGCUGGAGUGCGGCAGAGGGGGAUGGAAUUCCGCGUGUAGCAGUGAAAUGCGUAGAUAUGCGGAGGAACACCGAUGGCGAAGGCAAUCCCCUGGGCCUGCACUGACGCUCAUGCACGAAAGCGUGGGGAGCAAACAGGAUUAGAUGCCCUGGUAGUCCACGCCCUAAACGAUGUCAACUGGUUGUUGGGGAUUUUUUCUCAGUAACGAAGCUAACGCGUGAAGUUGACCGCCUGGGGAGUACGGCCGCAAGGUUAAAACUCAAAUGAAUUGACGGGG
rnacentral:rRNA from 1 species